rnacentral:sRNA from 1 species
GAGGGUCGGACGGUAUAUUUGAUCGAUAAAUCCGCGGUCACACUGAUCUCAAUUGCGGAACAUAAGGCCGUUUUGAAGCCCAACUGUGGCCCACAACUCCGCCCUGCCUCAGCCAGACCACCAGAUCGGCCAGGUGGAUCUUAGCCGACCAGAUCUUAGCCCGAAUCUGAAGAAAACCAAGCUGGAUGAGGCCUCGACGGCGGGGUUGAUGCAAGCACAUAAACGGAUCAGGGCGUGGUGUCUAUGAUGAGCUUCCAUCUGCGUCGCAAAAAGGGACUGGAACAAACCCUGGCGGCCAAGCUUACACCAAAGGCGUACGUCAAGGAGACUCAUGCCGUGCCCGGGCUGCCGGAGCUGCUGGAUCCUGCAUUCCCAACAAGACACGUCUGGACAGAUUAUGCGCCACUACGGCAGUGCAAGGGCAUCCGCCAGUUGCAGGCUUUGUACGUGUCCCACCUGCACGCGGAUCAUCACAUUGGAUUGAUUGGACUGCUGAAGGAGCGCAGAUAGCUGGCCCCGAAGGAAACUCGCUGCUCUUACUUGCGCCGCGGCAGAUCGAGCCAUGGAUGGAGUUCUAACAAGGAUAGCUCUUGGCGAGACUCCUGACUGGAGAGGCAGUGGCACCAUUGGGCAUAACUGCCGCCACUGCCAAGUCACCAGUAGGAACUGCCAAGCCGCCAGUGCGAACAGCUGCUUAAAAUCUUGCGAGACGCUUGGCGAUGCUGUGGAUGAUCGAGUUCAGCCCAACAAUCAACCUUUGCGGAAUGAGAGGAGCAGCAGCAAGGCAAGAAGGUGAGUUCUGGGUGAAAACUUGUCUCAUUGUCCUAUGCAGGAUGCCGAUCAGGAUUUGUACUAAAACCAGGACAGUUCGGCUAACUCGUCGCAGUCCUCGGUGGGCAUUGAUGACUAUUGGGAUGAGGCUCUGGUCGGCGACUAUGGAAGCACUCAGAAUGAUGACAGCGAUGACUUGGAUGGUCACAACAACUAGCCACCUAUCGAUGGGCAGCAAGGAAAAGAACCCGGCCGUAACGAGUUGCGUUACUAUUGGCGAUCAAGAGAUCAUAGACUGCAAAGAACAAUUCGACAAGCAGCGGCAGGCAACAUUACUUGGGCCGAGCAGGGCAGUAAAUGUAAAAGUUGUUCUGCACUAUCUUAAAAGCGUGCUCCGGCGGUCUUAAGCCUUCUGCACCAUGUUUUACAUCAUCGGUUUCGACCGGGAGCGCAGACAGCUGGCCCCGAAGGAAACUCGCUGCUCUUACUUGCGCCGCGGCAGAUCGAGCCAUGGAUGGAGUUCUAACACGGAUAGCUCUUGGCGAGACUCCUGACUGCAGAGGCAGUGGCACCAUUGGGCGUAACUGCCGCCACUGCCAAGUCACCAGUAGGAACUGCGAAGCCGCCAGUACGAACAGCUGCUUAAAAUCUUGCGAGACGCUUGGCGAUGCUGUGGAUGAUCAAGUUCAGCCCAACAAUCAACAGUUGCGGAAUGAGAGGAGCAGCAACAGGACAAGAAGGAUGCCGAUCAGGAUUUCUACUAAAACCAGGACAGUUCGGCUAACUCGUCGCAGUCCUCGGUGGGCAUUGAUGACUAUUGGGAUGAAGCUCUGGUCGGCGACUAUGGAAGCACUCAGAAUGAUGACAGCGAUGACUUGGACGGGCACAACAACUAGCCACCUAUCGAUGGGCAGCAAGGAGAAGAACCCGGCCGCAACGAGUUGCGUUACUAUUGGCGAUCAUGAGGUCAUGGACUGCAAAGAACAAUUCGACAAGCAGCAACAUUACUUGGGCCGAGCAGGGCAGUAAAUGUGAAAGUUGUACAGCACUAUCUUAAAAGCGUGCUCCGGCGGUCUUAAGCCUUCUGCACCAUGUUUUACAUCAUCGGUUUCGACCGGAUCCAGUGGCCUAAAAAGUGCUAUAGAGCGAUCCUCUCUUACCCCACCAGGAGGUCACCCCCUCCGGUGGCCAUGAAUACCUUUUGCAUGACCGCGAAUACCGAAUUACCCACCAUCGUUUAACUGGGGCUUCACACUUCAGGUCCUCCGGUUUAGCUGAACGAGUGGGCGCUCGAUGGCGGCUGUCCACUCCAGGCGCCUACCGGCUGACAUCGCGAGCUCCCCACCGGCUCUUGGGACAUGACUUACAUCGCGCGAGCUGUGGCCUCUAGCCUGGACGACCUUUGGGUCCUCUCGGGAUGUGUAAGGGAUGUGCUCCUGGCUGGACUGUGGCAGGCACUGUCUGUCCUCCUGCGGGCCAAAGCCAUGAUGCCACUACUGUGUCGCUGAAUCGACAAUGUGGCGUCCCGUCCGCUGCAGCAGGGACCACUGAUCGACUUCAGAAUUGUGGGUUCACGCCCACGGUAAUCAAACGCUGGUCUUCAGCCUCGAGGCGCAGGGCUUAUGUACCAUAUCCAAGCAUUGCCGAAUCGUAUCCCAGCAGGACAAAAGCGCACCCCUUGGAAGAGCCCAAAUCUAACAAGCCGACGUCACAUUUCGACCUGGCCAUUGAAAACUAUCUCAAGGACUUUGGCUAUGGCAACCAAGGGAGGGAUACGCGGACUACCAGACUAUAGAUAGAUCUCGUUGUUAAUAGGUUUAAGGAUACACACGUCUGUACAUUUAGAUAGUAGAUAUAAAUAUUUCCAAAUUGUUAAUUUCUUUAUAGUAAGUUAACGUUAUUAUGAAUAAAACUAUUGAAAAAUUA